AACGAACGCUGGCGGCAUGCCUAACACAUGCAAGUCGAACGAGACCUUCGGGUCUAGUGGCGCACGGGUGCGUAACGCGUGGGAACCUGCCCUUAGGUUCGGAAUAACUCCCCGAAAGGGGUGCUAAUACCGGAUAAUGUCUUCGGACCAAAGAUUUAUCGCCUUUGGAUGGGCCCGCGUUGGAUUAGCUAGUUGGUAGGGUAAAAGCCUACCAAGGCGACGAUCCAUAGCUGGUCUGAGAGGAUGAUCAGCCACACUGGGACUGCGACACGGCCCAGACUCCUACGGGAGGCAGCAGUGGGGAAUAUUGGACGAGGGGCGAAAGCCUGAUCCAGCAAUGCCGCGUGAGUGAUGAAGGCCUUAGGGUUGUAAAGCUCUUUUACCCGGGAUGAUAAUGACAGUACCGGGAGAAUAAGCUCCGGCUAACUCCGUG
rnacentral:rRNA from 1 species